rnacentral:misc_RNA from 1 species
UAGUAGUAGUAGUAGUAGUAAUAGUAGUAAUAGUAUUAGUUACUGGUAAUAACAGUAAAUAUGCGUGUGUGGUCGUGACGGCGUUAUUAUUGUAAAUUGUAAAAAAAAAAGAAACAGUAGUAACAAGAGAAGUGUGGUAAACAAUCGUGAGAAAGGAUUUUAUGCGAAAAGAUAAUGACUAUAUGAAUAUGGCGGGAUCGAUAUUACGAUGAUGAUCGGAGAAAAAGGGGGUCAACGAUAAUUGCUAAUAAUACCGAUGAUAAUGAUGACAAUGAUGCUGAUAGAUAAUAACGAUAAUAAUGAUAAUAAUGAGAUAAUUACCAAGGGGAUGAAUAGUAAAUAUAAUAUAUAUAUAUAUAUAUAAUACGACUAUAUCGAUCUAUGUAGACAAUUAUAUAUAAAAUAGAAUCGAGACUCAACUAGCUAUGACUCUCACAGGCGAACAUCGUUGAACAGGAACAACAUCUAUUAUUAAAUCUUUCGAUAAUUUAUAAAGAAUCUUAACACGUGUUAUCGUAUACGCACGCUUAUCUCUUCCUUCUUUUUAUAAAAAGCUACUUUUUUUU